GAUGAACGCUAGCUACAGGCUUAACACAUGCAAGUCGCGGGGUAACAUCUGGUAGAGCUUGCUCUUCCAGGAUGACGACCGGCGCACGGGUGAGUAACGCGUAUCCAACCUGGCCCAUACCACGGGAUAGCCCGUCGAAAGGCGGAUUAAUACCGUAUGCUGUCAUUAAGAUGCAUAUAUUGAUGACGAAAGGACUGGCGGUAUGGGAUGGGGAUGCGUCUGAUUAGCUUGUUGGCGGGGUAACGGCCCACCAAGGCGACGAUCAGUAGGGGUUCUGAGAGGAAGGUCCCCCACAUUGGAACUGAGACACGGUCCAAACUCCUACGGGAGGCAGCAGUGAGGAACAUUGGUCAAUGGGCGAAAGCCUGAACCAGCCAAGUAGCGUGAGGGAAGACUGCCCUACGGGUUGUAAACCUCUUUUGUUUGGGAAUAAAGUGCGGGACGUGUCCCGCAUUGCAUGUACCAUUUGAAUAAGGACCGGCUAAUUCCGUGCCAGCAGCCG
rnacentral:rRNA from 1 species